CCCAGAAUUUUAAAAACAGUCAGACAAUAAAAACCCCUUCACAACACUCAUCCUCCGGCACACACGCACACACAUACAUGCCCCCUUCCCCAUGGUAAAAAACACGAUUGACUGAGAUCAGAUGAGCCAGACCAGCUAAGAUAAGGAUAAGGAAACACCAUCAGGGGAGCCAUCCGCCCUGGCAGCAGCAGAUCCACAGCAGCAGCCGAGGCACUGACACAAGGCGCCCAGGGCAGGGAGGGCAGAGACCCCCACCUCCACCUAGGCACACCUGGAAAGCACCCAGGCCACCACAGCCGACCACCGCUGCCGGGGCAGAGGGCUCCCACAGAGGAAGCACUGGAAAAAGGAACAGAUGAGGAAAUCUCCUUUACAACAAUGUCAGAGCCAAGAUGAGAAACAGUAGUGUGCAAAACAAGCCAGCAAAACCAUUUAGACACAACGUUGGAUGCUGUGACAUACUAGGACUGAGACAGAUCCCAGAUUUGUUGCUACCGUCUCACUUCUAACACUUUCUACACUUGACAACCCAGAUGGGGCAGCACUGAUCACGUGGUUCCUAAAGUCGGGUCUGGACCCCACCGAAAAGCUUCAAAGCUCUGGGACUCCUACAGUCUCACCGUUGCCCUCCAGCUGCUGCCAGUCCAGAGGUGUUGGGGCUUUUCUCUUCUUCCACAGCUUGUCCAUGGUCAGCAGGUACAUGAUGUCAUCUUUGAAAAG